UCGAGCAGCAGUUGUAGCAUACAAAAAUAAUUUAACAUCUUGGAAUAACAGGCUUGGAAUUGCCCAAGAAAGAUGUUAAAUUAUUUUUGUAUGCUACAACUGCUGCUUGAAU